ensembl:lncRNA
AUGGUGUCAACUUAUCUAGACUAUGGUCUUCCCUGUAGCGCAAAUGAUAAAGAAUCUGCCUGCAAUGCCAGAGACCCCAGUUCAACACCUGGGUCGGGAAGAUCCCCUGGAGAAGACAAUGGCAAUCCAAUCCAGUAUUCUUGCCUGGAGCAUCCCCUGGACAGAGAAUCCUGGUGGGCUACAGUCCCUGGAAUCCCAAAGAGUCGGACUGGAUUAACACUACUAUGUAGACUGAACUCCAUUUCCCAGAAAUCCCUAUCCUUCCCCACAGCUGAGAUUCCUGCUGAGAGGCUCGCAGGGCAGGCAGGCUUUGUAGCUGUCUCCUGCUGUUGCCUGUCUGUUGGCUCAUCUCAUCGGCCUAAGGCCUCUGCCAGAGUUGCAGCUGCCCUGGCUUCCUCUGGAUUUUCAGCAUGUGACAGAGGGUUCUGCUUCUCCGGGACACCCACAACACCAAGGAUCUGAAACAGAAAGACCGAAUGCCAGAGAAGGAAUUUUCCGAAUACACUGUUGUUUGCUGGAGGACUCCCGGCCAGAGCCCUCAAUUCUGCUCAAAUCUGGACUGCUGGUCCUGUUGGUCUGCUACAUGAAGCCUGGAAAAAGUUCUCCUCAACAGAUGUUUGACAGAUGUCCCCAAAUGUAGACCUUCAGGUCCCACAAAACCUUUAUCCUCCCCUGCUUCCCUGUUAAGAUACAAAAUGAAAUGCUUAUUCACUACUCUUCUUUCCAGAGGUUGCUCACCUAUCCAAAAUUUUUUUCCUCUGGUAUCAGACCAAUUCAAAAUUUGUUGCUUAACAGGGCUAAGUACAAAAGAUGUUUCUUAAUUUAUUUUCCCAGCGAAGAAUAAAAAGAGCUCUGGCCAAGGAAUGUUUUUCUUACAAUGUGUAUGCAAGGACUUCAGAAUUGCAUAUAUUUUAUGCUUCUGAACAAUAACAUCUUUCCUUAAAGAGGAAGCUUCCCAUAAGUUCAUGUCAUUAAAAAAAAAAACUGUAAUCAAAUAAAUAUUAAAUUCUAACAUAUUUUAAAACAUAUUUUUUACAUUAAAUACAUGAAGAUGAAAUUCAGCCAUAUUGUGUAAAAAAUACAUGGAGAAAAAAGAAAACAAGAGCUCAUAUUAAGUAAAACCACAUUUUAAAAUACAAUUUUAUACCCAAGGAAGGUGGGUGGUAACACAAGUGUCUGCUUUCACUCUACUCCUCAGUACAACUUCUCUGAUUUCUUUGAUAAAUUUGCUAUAAAUCUUUUUCAUUCAGGUACCUAAAUCUGAUUUCUAUGUGUGCUUUCCCCCGCCCAGUUUUUAGAUUCUUAAAAUGUUAUCUCUCCUAAAACAUCACCCAACUAAUUUGAAAACACAUGAUGACCACAUCUAAAAUUAGAAUUCGCAGAAUUAUUAGCUAUCCUGACAAAAUUUCUGGACAUGAGCAGAAAAUUUAAAAUAAAAAAAAAUUUUUUUUUGCAAUUGUCGAAAGUGUAUUUGCACAUUUGAAUUUAAAAGUUGCCCUUAUUUUUCAUUCAGCUUUUAAUGAUUUUUAUUUCUUAGAAAAAACUGACAGUCUAAAUAUAAUGCUCUGAGAUACGGUUCUUACUUUCACUUCAAAAGAGCUACACAAUCUGAGAAAAAGUUUUAUUGUGCACAAUUACACAUAUUCUGAUUUGCUGGUUAGCCCACAGAUGGCACAUUACAAGGAAUUAAUUUUUCUGCAUGUGCAUUUAAGAUCAGAAACUGGUGUACUAAACUUUACGUUUAAAAAUUUUACAUUGACACGUGAAUGACUUUACCAACAACUAAGACUAGUUCAAAAAUAAAGGAUAGGUGCCCACACAUGUGCAUGACCAAGAGUGUACACUGAAGUGAUUCUCUAAGACUAAAGUGUUUUCUUGUGUCCUCCUUAGAGAUAGUGAAGGAAAAUUCUAGAACUUUUAGACUAGAUCUUUUGUCCCUACCUCUAGUAAUCAAAGAUUAUGAAAUAUCAAAGCCCAAUCUCAGAGUAAUUCUUUUACACUGUUUUUCAUUUUGUUUGUGCUUGUAAAGCUAAAAAAAUUAAUUUAUCUAGUCAUUGUGAGUAAAAAAAGCAAUUUCAUUUAUUGGAGGGAUACUAAGGUAAGUAACAGAAUCAAUAACAUGCUGCCACAAAAAAUGCUGAGAAAGGCAGAAUGUGUAUUGCAGCAAAACCCUCAGCAGGAGGUGUUGUGGGAUUGACUCUGCUGUGUGCACCCUAUGUUGUUGCUGUCUAGUUGCUAAGUUGUGUUCGACUCUCUGGGACCCCAUGGACUGUGACCUGCCAGCCUCCUCUGUCCCUGGGAUUUCCCAGGCAAGACUGCUAGAGUCGUUGCCAUUUCCUUCUCAGGGAUCUUCCCUACCCAGGGAUUGAAUCCAAGUUUCUUGAGUCUUCUGUAUUGGCAGGCAGAUUCUUUACCACUAUAUGCGUAUAUAUGUAUAAAUAAUAUAUUCCAGUCUCUUUUCAUUUAUUUGCCUAUUCUAAUAUUCCAAUAAUCCCUCUG